rnacentral:ribozyme from 14 species
ACACACACACCAGCAACAACAAAAGCAAAAACAAAAGAAAAUAAAAAGUCAGCAUAUUUGUAUGUCUGCGGUUUC